AGAGUUCAAAGUGUGAUCUGCUAAACAAACGUGACGGUAACUAUAACAGAUUUUUGGCACAAAAGAAAAUUGAAUGAAUGGAGAAGAAGCUUUACAGUAAUAAUUAUACCACCGGAAUGCCUGAGAAAAUAAGACAGUCUUAGGAGACUGGGCUAUUUAACUUCUUGAAUGAGGUAAUCUCACGUAUAAGAAACCACGAAGCAUGAAGAAACACUUAUCCUCGAAGCCUUCCAGAUUCCAGCCUUACAAGUCGACCAUGCCAAGCGGACGCACAGUAGACGCUGGCUUGCCUGUCGCCGCCGGCGUUCUCAGCGUUCCCCCAGCCUACAAGUUUCCCGCGCUGAUUUAGCACACCGCUCCCACUGUUUCGUUUUGUUUUCUUCAGACAUUUGUCCUCUAAAAAUGUCUCUUAUUUGCAAAGGAAGCCCAUCGAGAGGGUUAUGGUAAUCUCUGUUCCUGAUUAAAAUGUUUCUGCUCAGUC